rnacentral:tRNA from 1 species
GGUGGUAGCUCAAUCGGUAGAGCACUCGCCUGUCACGCGAGAGGUUGCGGGUUCAAAUCCCGUCCACC